CCUACGGGAGGCAGCAGUAGGGAAUAGUGCGCAAUGGGGGAAACCCUGAAGCAGCAACGCCGCGGGGAGGAUGAAGGUGUUAGGAGUGGAAACGCCGUUUGGUAGAGAAGAGGAUGACGGUAGCUAACGAAUAAGCACCGGCUAACGCCGUGCCAGCAGCCGCGGUAACACGGAGGGUGCAAGCUUUACUCGGAAUCACUGGGCGUAAAGAGGGCGUAGGCGGGGGAAUAAGUCAGAUGUGAAAUCCUGUGGCUUAACUGCAGAACUGCAUUUGAAACUGUUACUCUGGAGUGUGGGAGAGGUAGGUUGAAUUCUUGGUGUAGGGGUCAAAUCCGUAGAGAUCCGG
rnacentral:rRNA from 1 species